GACGAACGCUGGCGGCGUGCUUAACACAUGCAAGUCGUACGGUAAGGCCCUUUCGGGGGUACACGAGUGGCGAACGGGUGCGUAACACGUGAGUAACCUGCCCACAACUUUGGGAUAACGCUAGGAAACUGGUGCUAAUACUGGAUAUGUGCUCCUGCUGCAUGGUGGGGGUUGGAAAGCUCCGGCGGUUGUGGAUGGACUCGCGGCCUAUCAGCUUGUUGGUGGGGUAGUGGCCUACCAAGGCGGCGACGGGUAGCCGGCCUGAGAGGGUGACCGGCCACAUUGGGACUGAGAUACGGCCCAGACUCCUACGGGAGGCAGCAGUGGGGAAUAUUGCACAAUGGGCGCAAGCCUGAUGCAGCAACGCCGCGUGCGGGAUGACGGCCUUCGGGUUGUAAAACGCUUUCAGCAGGGACGAAGCUUUUUGUGACGGUACCUGCAGAAGAAGCACCGGCUAACUACGUG
rnacentral:rRNA from 1 species